rnacentral:piRNA from 1 species
UGUCUCUUGUGAGACUAGGCCAGGG